AGUACCUGUGAAGAUGCAGGUUACCCGCGACAGGACGGAAAGACCCCAUGGAGCUUUACUGCAGUUUGAUAUUGAGUGUCUGUACCACAUGUACAGGAUAGGUAGGAGUCUAAGAGAUCGGGACGCCAGUUUCGAAGGAGACGCUGUUGGGAUACUACCCUUGUGUUAUGGCCACUCUAACCCAGAUAGGUGAUCCCUAUCGGAGACAGUGUCUGACGGGCAGUUUGACUGGGGCGGUCGCCUCCUAAAAGGUAACGGAGGCGCCCAAAGGUUCCCUCAGAAUGGUUGGAAAUCAUUCGCAGAGUGUAAAGGUAUAAGGGAGCUUGACUGCGAGAGCUACAACUCGAGCAGGGACGAAAGUCGGGCUUAGUGA
rnacentral:rRNA from 1 species